GGGCGGGUGGCGAAAUUGGUAGACGCACCACACUCAAAAUGUGGCGGCCUUUGGUCAUGAGAGUUCGAGUCUCUCCCCGCCCA
rfam:Microcoleus sp. PCC 7113, complete genome.